CCCGUAUGGAACACAAGACGCGACGGCGCGUCUGCGUCUGUGUGAGUUGCGUUUCGGCGCUUCUGCGCAUGCGCGAUGUCAUUUUGACCCGGAAGUAAUGCGCUCCGUUACUUCCAGGUCGACGUGGAGCGCAACCCGAAUUUGCCUAACCCAAAGCGUAUUCAUCCCGAGGUAUGACUGUACUUGCCAAAGGGUGUAAUCUCCCUUCUCCUCCCCCUGCAGACCUUUCUGGGGCUUCUCCUGACCCCCCCCCCCAAGCUGACUGGUGGGGAGCACAUGGGAAGGAGAUGGGGAGAAAGCCCCAGUUGUGUGAGUGAGACUUGUUCCUUCUGGCUCCUGCUAGACUAACUGUGUUAUGCUGAAUCCAGCCCAGAAAAGCAGGAUUUCCUUCAAGAGAGGCUGCUCUCAUCCAGGGCUUUAUAUGCCCCAACUCAAUUCAGCUGUGAGCCAAAGGCUCCUGAGGUGAAAGAGGAAGCCAGAAUUAGAGAGAGAGCAACCUGGUGUCCUCUGGGACAGCCUCUCCUCCAUUGCUGAGCUCCCUCAGGCUACGCAGAAACACAAAGAGCUGUUAGGAAAACGUUCUUUAAGAAACAGAUAAAGGUUCCUGGAAGCUUUCAAGAGGGUUCCAGAAUUUUCUUUAGCGUGUAAGAGUGGCACUCUAGGCUUGAUUGGUGUCAGCUGGAGGUGCAAAUAAAGGGAGGAAGUUGCAGGCUGCAAUUUCCGCAAAAGGAAAACACACACACACACACACACACUCACUCACUCACUCACACACUCUCACUCUCUCUCUCUCUCUCACACACACACACACACAGCACGCACACUGACAACAAGGUUGGAAGUAAGACAAUGUGUGCUGCUGAUACUGUGAGUUUUGCUGUGUCAGGAUUGUUAAUUACUGGACUGAGAUUAUACCGUGCGAACGGCACCGCUGAUCGGAUCGUGU